rnacentral:rRNA from 1 species
CAGGCGUCGAGUGGCGGACGGGUGAGUAACGCAUGGGAAUCUGCCUUUUGCUGGGGGAUAACGUAGGGAAACUUACGCUAAUACCGCAUAAGACCUAAGGGUGAAAGCGGGGGAUCUUAGGACCUCGCGGCGAGAGAUGAGCCCAUGUUGGAUUAGCUAGUUGGUGGGGUAAAGGCCUACCAAGGCGACGAUCCAUAGCUGGUCUGAGAGGAUGAUCAGCCACACUGGGACUGAGACACGGCCCAGACUCC